ACGAACGCUGGCGGCGUGCUUAACACAUGCAAGUCGAACGGAAAGGCCCUGCUUUUGUGGGGUGCUCGAGUGGCGAACGGGUGAGUAACACGUGAGUAACCUGCCCUCGACUUUGGGAUAACUUCAGGAAACUGGGGCUAAUACCGGAUAGGAGCUUCUGCUGCCUGGUGGGGGUUGGAAAGUUUCGGCGGUUGGGGAUGGACUCGCGGCUUAUCAGCUUGUUGGUGGGGUAGUGGCUUACCAAGGCUUUGACGGGUAGCCGGCCUGAGAGGGUGACCGGCCACAUUGGGACUGAGAUACGGCCCAGACUCCUACGGGAGGCAGCAGUGGGGAAUAUUGCACAAUGGGCGGAAGCCUGAUGCAGCAACGCCGCGUGCGGGAUGACGGCCUUCGGGUUGUAAACCGCUUUCGCCUGUGACGAAGCGUGAGUGACGGUAAUGGGUAAAGAAGCACCGGCUAACUACGUG
rnacentral:rRNA from 1 species